GAGGGCCGCGGCAGCCUGCUGACCUGCGGCGAUGUGGAGGAGAACCCCGGGCCC
rnacentral:misc_RNA from 1 species